GACGAACGCUGGCGGCGUGCUUAACACAUGCAAGUCGAACGGUGAAGCGCCUUCCUUUUUGGUGGGUGUGGAUGAGUGGCGAACGGGUGAGUAACACGUGAGUAACCUGCCCCCUUCUUCUGGAUAACCGCAUGAAAGUGUGGCUAAUACGGGAUAUUCUGGGUCUGUCGCAUGAUGGGUCUGGGAAAGAUAUUGUUUCGGUGGGGGAUGGGCUCGCGGCCUAUCAGCUUGUUGGGGGGGUGAUGGCCUACCAAGGCGGUGACGGGUAGCCGGCCUGAGAGGGUGGACGGUCACACUGGGACUGAGACACGGCCCAGACUCCUACGGGAGGCAGCAGUGGGGAAUAUUGCACAAUGGGCGCAAGCCUGAUGCAGCGACGCCGCGUGAGGGAUGGAGGCCUUCGGGUUGUGAACCUCUUUCGCCAGUGAAGCAGGCCUGCCUCGUUUGUGGGUGGGUUGACGGUAGCUGGAUAAGAAGCGCCGGCUAACUACGUG
rnacentral:rRNA from 1 species